AAAGCAGCCGGCCAGCAGUCCAGUCACAUGUGUCCGAGGUCCUGAAACGUGUCGUGGCGGGCCGGCCAGCGCAGCGCAGUGCAGUGCCGCGGGGUAGUGCCGUAGCUCGUGUCUCCCUUCGUCGGCUCGAACAUUGAAUCGCGCUGCUUGCCAACAACCAGUGUGUCGUCUGUCAGUGCCGCCGGUGGCAGUGCAUGGCAGUGCGCUGGGGCGUCGCCAACACCGCCACCGCCGCCAACGAGUGCAUCAUUGUGCCGCCGGCUGGCCGGUAGCUGCAGUCUGCAGUCACUCCACCGACAACUACCCUCGGCCGCCAGUUCCAGACCCCCUGCGCGGCGCGCUGCGAGGCGCGGGCUGUGGCCCCUGGACUUCCCUGGGGACUUCACUGCGGACUGCCCUGGACUUCCCUGGACUUCCCUGGACUUCCCUCCGCCUCGCGCGGCCAGAAACCGGCAGCUGAAUAUUUCCCGACCAGUCCGAGGAGGCGGGGACGCCGGCACCGCUCCAUGGAUUGCCAGAGAGUGACGCCCGCCAAUUGAGAGCCCCCGGGCCCAGCAUGCCCCGGACGUGGCUGGGAGG